AAAUAAUUUCAUUGAAUCUGCUUUUGACAGAGGCAUUCAUAGGACACAGAACUGUUCGUUUGCCUCUAUGUCUGAAAACAUUACUGCGAAUCAUCCCAUAGCUUCUUUCAGGUACCAAGUGGGCUGAGCAGAUACCUGAAGAAGGUAGAGGCCAAGAAAUGCAUAACUUCAUCCAGUCCUAAGAAUCAUACUGUUAGUUCUUUGAACUAUGUUAAUUAUUGUAAAAGAAAAACUCCAUUCUUUCAUAGUCACCAGCAGCUUUCUGAAUCCGUUGACGUAAUUCAUGAAUCAUCAUGGCAGGCAGCAAAACGUUGA
rnacentral:lncRNA from 1 species